GUUUCUUUUUCUUUUCAACUUCAACUCCUCAACGACGCUCCACUCUCCUUAUUUGAAACUUCUCAUUUCCGAUUUCUCAACCUCCUCGACGCCUCUCCUCUCUGUUCUCUUCUCGACAACUAAGAACGAGAACCCUAAUCUCUCAUUUCUGAAUCCUAAUCUUCUCCUUCUAUAACCCUAACUUCCUAGCCAUUUUCUCCAAUUCUAACCCUAAUGGCGCCGAGAACAAUUCCUCCUCUAAAGAAGAGGAAGAGAGGAGUAGCCGGAGGAACAAAGCCAAUAGAUGCUGUCACGAAGGCAACGAAGGAGCCUCCGACAACGACGGAGAAGCCAUCAGCGACGGAGCAAAAUCUGGUCGCAAUUGAGGGAGGAAGAGUUGAAGAAGAACCAAUUCCGACCAUAAUCCCGACCGUAGUGGAAGAAGGAGAGCAGUCUGACAACAAUGAGAAAGAAAAUUCUGAGAAGGAUGAGAAAGAAGAGAGUGAUGAAGAAGAGAAAGAAGAAGAAGAGAAAGAAGAAGAGGAGAAAGAAGAAGAGGUUUACCGGAGGAUAGUCCUCCGAUGAUAGUAGUAAACCUUGGGCGAAGAAACCUCGUCCGAUGAGAAUAUGGAUGAUGAGACUACAGUGGAAAAUCAAGUGGAAAUUCCGGCAGCAAUGAUAAGUAUUUCUCGAGUAUUUGAAUGGUAUGAAACUAGUAGAACAGGAUAAUACUAUCAUUUCUGGAGAAUACUGUCAUUACUAGGAUAUAACUAUGUGUAUGAAUUUUGGGUAACAUUGGUAGUACUAAGAUAGAACUAUGUGUAUGAUUUUUGGAUAAUACUGUCAUUACUAGGAUAUAACUAUGCGUUUCUGGGUAAUACUGUCAUUACUUGAAAACAACUACGUGUAUGAUUCAAGGUAAUACUGUCAGUACUAGGAUAUAACUAUGUGUAUGAUUCUAGGUAACAUCGGUAGUAAUAUGAAUGAAUAUCUGUUGCAGGAGAUCGACGAGGAAAUAGAAGCAAUACUGAUAAGUGUGUAUUUUACAUGUUUUGAGCAUCCAUUUGUCAUCACUUUAGCAUCAUAUCAUCACUGUUUUAUACCAUUUCUCAUCAUUUGUCAUCGGUUUACAUGUUUAGGAUAGAUUUGCAUGCAUGUUGCAUAUUUGCGUUGAUUUCAGCUGAUUUGGAGAUGUUGACGAGCUAUCUGGAAGAAGCGGACCUGAUCAUGUCAAACCACUCGACCCCGAGGUCGAGUAGGAGCUUCAAGAUCUCAACAGAUCACUCGACCCCCUGGUCGAGUAGAGGACAUCACUACUUCACCACAUCACUCGACCCCGAGGUCGAGUGUCUUCAUCCCAUCACCUGACCAUCACUCGAUCACAUCACUCGACCCCGAGGCCGAGUGUCUUCACCUUCAUUGCCAGACCACUACUCGACCCCAUCACUCCACCUGGAGGUCAAGUAUCACCAUCACCACCACUCGACUGCAUACUCGAUGACAAGCUUCAGAGCCUUCUUCAUUCCGCACUCAACCAGACACUCGAGCACAAGGAAGAAAAGAAGACUCCAGCUAUUCACUCGACCUCCCACUCGACCACAUGGGUCGAGUACAAUUCUUAAUCCGUCCCAAUUCUCAGUAUGCUAGGUGAUUGAGUAUUGGUUGAUAGAUCCCUUCUGGAUUAAUUGUUCUUAAUGCCUAUUGCUUUCUGAUCAACUGGAAUUUGAGCCCAGACAUUUCCGCGCCGAAAAGGUGUUCGAUGAAAUGUCUGAACCACUAAUUCCAGAGAUUCGUGACCCUGUACCAAUGUAUUGGUUGCAGGGAGCGUUUUGGCUUUAACUUGUUGAUUCGUAAUGCCUGUUAGGUUAGCUCUCGUCAAUUGUGAUUGAGUCUGGGACUAGGUUAACUUGAGAGUCUCUGUUGCGGUGGCACUUAGAUUUGGUUAAUGAACUUGUUGUCUAGGGUUAAUUUAUUGAGCAUGUCAAUCACCUGUAAACUGAGGAAACGAAACUACUCAAUUACCCCAUCUUUGGGAAUUCUUUAUCUGAUUGAAUUCUUUGUUUACUCUAUUGUUGUUUACUGCAUCUUGUUAUCUGUCGCUUAAUUUCUGCAAUUCUUUCUUGUUACUCGACCUCAUACUCGACCACCCAGUUGUUUGGCAACAGACUGUGCAGUCGAGUAUCUGUGUUUUAUUUUCUGUCUGUUACUCGACCUGUCACUCGACCUCACCCAGUGCUCUGCAAAGAGCUGUGUUGGUCGAGUGUUUUACUGUUUCUUUUUGAUUUUCUGUUUUCUGCAUGUUCACUUAGGACUGCUAGAACAAACCAAAACCUGUUAUUGCUUGGCUUGACUUAGUGACUUCUGAUCACAUCUUGAUUGUUAGCAUCACACUCAUUUGGAUUGACAACCUUCAGUACUACAACGACAUGAUAGUGCUUUAGGUUUAAUUGACUU
rnacentral:sRNA from 1 species